rnacentral:rRNA from 1 species
UACGUAGGGGGCUAGCGUUGUCCGGAAUCAUUGGGCGUAAAGCGCGUGUAGGCGGUCCGGUAAGUCCGCUGUGAAAGUCGGGGGCUCAACCCUCGAAUGCCGGUGGAUACUGUCGGGCUAGAGUGCGGAAGAGGCGAGUGGAAUUCCUGGUGUAGCGGUGAAAUGCGCAGAUAUCAGGAGGAACACCUAUUGCGAAGGCAGCUCGCUGGGACGUAACUGACGCUGAGGCGCGAAAGCGUGGGGAGCAAACAGG